rnacentral:rRNA from 1 species
GACGAACGCUGGCGGCGUGCCUAAUACAUGCAAGUAGAACGCUGAAGGAGGAGCUUGCUUCUCUGGAUGAGUUGCGAACGGGUGAGUAACGCGUAGGUAACCUGCCUGGUAGCGGGGGAUAACUAUUGGAAACGAUAGCUAAUACCGCAUAAUAGUAGAUGUUGCAUGACAUUUGCUUAAAAGGUGCAAUUGCAUCACUACCAGAUGGACCUGCGUUGUAUUAGCUAGUUGGUGGGGUAACGGCUCACCAAGGCGACGAUACAUAGCCGACCUGCGAGGGUGAUCGGCCACACUGGGACUGAGACACGGCCCAGACUCCUACGGGAGGCAGCAGUAGGGAAUCUUCGGCAAUGGACGGAAGUCUGACCGAGCAACGCCGAGUGAGUGAAGAAGGUUUUCGGAUCGUAAAGCUCUGUUGUAAGAGAAGAACGAGUGUGAGAGUGGAAAGUUCACUCUGUGACGGUAUCUGACCAGAAAGGGACGGCUAACUACGUG